rnacentral:lncRNA from 1 species
UUGAAGAAAUGUCAAGGAAUAUCAAAGAAUGUCAAGGAAUAUCAAAGAUAUCAAAGAACAUCAAGGGAUAUCAAGGAAGAUGAAAGGGUAUCAAGGAAUGUCAAGAAAUGUCAAACAAUAUCAAGGAACAUCACUAUCUCUUCACAACAAACCUUUAUCACACAUCUUUGCUUUCCAACUCAUACCAAUAAUCAAUAUCAAUGUCAUCUUAGAAUUUGAGAAAUUGAAGAUCUCAUUUAUCAAAACUUUUGUAGAAAAGAUAUCAUGAUAAUAUCUCACUGAUGAGAAAACAAUCAAAAGAAUCUUUAGUUGAAGAGAGG